rnacentral:rRNA from 1 species
AUUGAACGCUGGCGGCAGGCUUAACACAUGCAAGUCGAGCGGGGGAAGGUAGCUUGCUACCGGACCUAGCGGCGGACGGGUGAGUAAUGCGUAGGAAUCUGACUAUUAGGGGGGGACAACAUCUCGAAAGGGAUGCUAAUACCGCAUACGUCCUACGGGAGAAAGCCGGGGAGCUGCGGACCUGGCGCUAAUACAUGAGCCUAGGUCGGAUUAGCGAGUUGCUGGGGUCAAGGCCUACCAAGGCGACGAUGUGUAGCGGGUCUGAGAGGAUGAGCCGCCACACUGGGACUGAGACACGGCCCAGACUCCUACGGGAGGCAGCAGUGGGGAAUAUUGGACAAUGGGGGGGACCCUGAUCCAGCCAUGCCGCGUGUGUGAAGAAGGCCUUAUGGUUGUAAAGCACUUUAAGCGAGGAGGAGGCUACUCUAGUUAAUACCUAGGGAUAGUGGACGUUACUCGCAGAAUAAGCACCGGCUAACUCUGUGCCAGCCGCCGCAGUAA